GGGAUGCAAAAUUUGCCAGGCAAAAUGGCUCAAAUUGCUUGUAGGAGAAUGCUACUUGCAAGGUAUCAUGCCUCUUUACUGUAAUAUAGCCUUUAUGAGGUAAUUAUAUGCUGUGAGUGAUAAUUUAAUGACUAAACAACUCCUGCUUAGUUUAAUAACAACACUACUGGAAAUUUUCUUAGUUAAUUGGGGGGUGAUUUUGAUGAAUCAAUUUCCUUUUUUUCUCGAGCUCUUAGUAAAUUUUUUUUAUGAGAUUUUCUUAAGUUGAUCGCUGUAUGCAUUAUGUUAUACUUAAGGCUUUACUGAUUAAUAUUUGUCACGUGACAUGACAUUCAGACCGAUAAUAGCAUGCUUAUCCCUUAUUUUUGUACUAGUUUAGUUCCAGUUAAAAUUGUCAUUCUCUUUUAAAGCUAAUCCCUUCUUUAGAGUUGUUUAAUAACCGUCGAGCAUUUUUUUGGGGAAGGGUUUUGGUUGAACUUUUCCAUGUCUUGAACAGAUAAGGAAUCUUGGGCCUUGGAUAUUUCACUUGAUGGUGUCCUGUAAAUCUCUGUAAAGAAAUCUUAAUGAAACUGAUAUGCCUGUUUGUUUAUGGAGUAUGCUGCCACUCUUUGUUCAAGGAGAUUUAUGGGCAAAAUGGGAUUGUUUCUUCCUUCUUUUUCCCUAAUUUUGUAACACCUAGAACCUUAUGUACCUGUCCAGUCAUCUUGUGGUGCAACCCGUUCAUAGUGUAAUGCUCUGAGGAAUUAUAAUAUGAUGCUACCACCUUCGAGCAAAACACAAGGUUUUCCUUCGACCCCAUUCUCUGUUUGUGAAAGUUGUCAUGAAGCUGAAGUAGGUUCUUUGUAUUUGUUGAAGAGCAUGAACAUUAUGAUCUAAGAUGAGCAAAUAACUUUCGGUAA